AGCUGGUGCUCCGGCGAUUCAUGUAGCUCAGCCGCAGCGCCGAGAGCUUCAUUUGGUAUUCCUCCUCUUGCUAGCGCCAGAGAGUCAGAGAGAGAAAGGUGAAGAAGAAGAGGAAAAUGAAGAAAAGGGAUUUGUUUGAGUUAGUUCGAAGUAUUGGUGAGGUUGGUUUGUUAAGGCGUAAGAUUAAUCAAAAAUGAUUUCUUUGAAUUCACGAAUCAAUCGUUUUUGCUUAUUAUUGUCUUUGUUGGUGCCCUCUCCGUCUCUCUACAGUCAUCUACGCGCAC
rnacentral:misc_RNA from 1 species